rnacentral:tRNA from 1 species
GAGGGGAUAGUUCAAGUGGUAGAGUGCCUGCUUAGCAAGCAUGAAGCCCUGGGUUCAAUCCCCAGUACCUCCU